UCAGCAAGUACCGUAAACAGAAGCAGUCACCCCCUGGACGUGUGUCAUUUUGAAUAUUUCCAGGGGGGACUGCUUCUGUUUACGGUACUUGCUGA